rnacentral:lncRNA from 1 species
GGCGGGGCUGGUUACGCGGUGGGCGGGGCCAGGGUCUCGGUCCUCUCGCUUGCGGGAUGGCACAAUUGGCUCAGUCCCAGAGUCUUGGCGCGGUUGAGCUCCUCCCGGGCGACAGAGCCUCUCUACUUUUCACGUCGUGCCACCGCAAGAUAGCCAGUUCCUCCCUAUGGCGACCGCCUGGCUCUGCUAGACAAGCUGACUGCGUAUAACCUUGUAUGGCCCUCUACCCUGGAAUCUGCACUGAACCCUUGACUCCAUUGAGCCAGUAGAAAAAUGUGAUGAAGAGAUCCUGUGUCAGUCCCAGUACUGAGCUUAACUUUUUGAUGAUGUUUGUUUAUGAGGUUUUUGUUUGGUUUUGCUUUUUGUUUUCUUGAGAUGCUCCUGCUCUUCCACCUUGGAAAGAUUCAUGCAGAAGUCACAUGGAGAAGGGCCCCAGGCACAUGAACCCGGUGAGCCUUUCCUAAUGGAAGGUCAGUCAUAUUGCCUGAAGGAGACAUCUGGGUUGUUUUAGCCAUCUGGGCUGUUUCUCUGUAUUAGUCAGGGUUCUCUAAAGGAAGAGAACAGGUAGACUGAGUAUAUAUAUGAGAUUUGUUAGGUUGGCACACAGGAUGCAGUCCAAGCACUCCAACAAUGGCUGUCUGACACUAGAAAGGAUGACAGUCUGGUGGUUGCUCCGUCUGUAAGGCUGGACUCAGCAGUCCCAAUUUGGUGCUGGAGUCUCAGAGGAUUCCUUGAGAGCUACUGAUCUUCAGUCUGCAUUGGAAUUCUAAAGAAGUCAGUUCUAAUAUUGCUGAAUCAAUGCUACAGAAACAGAUAUAUGAGCUUGCCACCAAGAGUAAGGACCAGAAGGCAAAAAGCAAAGUUUCCCUCUUCUAUGUCCUGUUAUCUCAGCUGCCAUGAGAAGGUGCUGCCUAGAUUUAAGUAUUCCCACCAGGACAUAUUUCAAGCUACCAACAUGUCACCAAAUGCAGAAUUGAGAAUCAAGCCAUGGAUUCUGUUCUCUCCAACCUGUAAGAAGCAGUUCCAGCACUGGAUUAUAAACCCAUCCAGGGAACCUCCAAGGCUGCCCUAUAAUCUCAACAGUUCCUUGGCAUCUUGACGAUGUAACUCGAG